rnacentral:rRNA from 1 species
AACGAACGCUGGCGGCGUGGAUUAGGCAUGCAAGUCGAACGAGAUCCAGGAAUGUAGCAAUACAAGCCUGGUGACAGUGGCGGAAGGGUGAGUAACGCGUGGGCAAUCUGCCCUCAAGUUGGGGAUAGCUCUGCGAAAGCGGAAUUAAUACCGAAAUGUGGUCGUCCCGGGCAUCCGGGAUUAUCUAAAGCCGGGGACCCGCAAGGGCCUGGCGCUUGAGGAUGAGCCCCGCGUCCUAUCAGCUUGUUGGUGAGGUAACGGCUCACCAAGGCUUAGACGGGUAGCUGGUCUGAGAGGAUGGUCAGCCACACUGGGACUGAGACACUGCCCAGACUCCUACGGGAGCUGCAGUCGAGGAUCAUUUGCAAUGGGCGAAAGCCUGACAAUGCGACG